CUACGGGGUGCAGCAGUGAGGAAUAUUGCACAAUGGAGGAAACUCUGAUGCAGCAACGCCGCGUGGAGGAUGACGCAUUUCGGUGUGUAAACUCCUUUUAUAUGUCAAGAAAAUGACGGUAGCAUAUGAAUAAGCACCGGCUAACUCCGUGCCAGCAGCCGCGGUGAAUACGGAGGGUGCAAGCGUUACUCGGAAUCACUGGGCGUAAAGGACGCGUAGGCGGGAUAUCAAGUCAGGUGUGAAAUCCUACAGCUUAACUGUAGAACUGCACUUGAAACUGGUAACCUAGAGUAUGGGAGGGGGAGAUGGAAUUAGUGGUGUAGGGGUAAAAUCCGUAGAUAUCACUAGGAAUACCUAAAGCGAAGGCGAUCUCCUGGAACAUAACUGACGCUAAGGCGUGAAAGCGUGGGGAGCAAACAGGAUUAGAUACCCCCGUAGUC
rnacentral:rRNA from 1 species